UACGAAGGGGGCGAGCGUUGUUCGGAUUUACUGGGCGUAAAGGGUGUGUAGGCGGCAUAACAAGUCAAUUGUUUAAUCUUGCAGCUUAACUGCAAUCAUGCGGUUGAUACUGUUGUGCUGGAGUUUGGAAGAGAGAAGUGGAAUUCUAGGAGUAGCGGUUAAAUGCGUAGAUCUCUAGAGGAACACCGGUGGCGAAGGCGGCUUCUUGGUCCAAUACUGACGCUGAGACACGAAAGCGUGGGGAGCAAACAGG
rnacentral:rRNA from 1 species